AGUGCAUGUGGUGGAUGCCUAGGCGAUUACAGGCGAUGAAGGACGUAGUAGCUUGCGAUAAGCAUGGGGGAGUCGGCAAACAGACAUUGAUCCCAUGAUUUCCGAAUGGGGAAACCCGACCAGCAAUGGUCACUCAGAAAUGAGAGCGAACGCGGAGAACUGAAACAUCUAAGUACCCGUAGGAAAAGAAAUCAACCGAGAUUCCGAAAGUAGUGGCGAGCGAAAUCGGAGGAGCCAUGUAGUGUUAUAGUGACGAGAGAGUAGAACAAGCUGGGAAGCUUGACCGUAGAGGGUGAUAGUCCCGUAUACGAAUUCCGACAUUAAGAACUAAGCUACAAAGAAGUAGGGCGGGACACGUGGAAUCCUGUCUGAACAUGGGGGGACCAUCCUCCAAGGCUAAAUACUCGUAAUCGACCGAUAGUGAACCAGUACCGUGAGGGAAAGGCGAAAAGAACCCCGGGAGGGGAGUGAAAUAGAACCUGAAACUGCAUGCAUACAAACAGUGGGAGCGGACUAGUUCCGUGACUGCGUACCUUUUGUAUAAUGGGUCAGCGACUUACAUUCUGUAGCGAGCUUAACCGAAUAGGGGAGGCGAAGGGAAACCGAGUCUGAAUAGGGCGAUAGUUGCAGGGUGUAGACCCGAAACCGGGUGAGCUAUCCAUGGCCAGGAUGAAGGUGCAGUAACAUGCACUGGAGGUCCGAACCGACUAAUGUUGCAAAAUUAGCGGAUGAGCUGUGGAUAGGGGUGAAAGGCUAAACAAACCCGGAGAUAGCUGGUUCUCCUCGAAAACUAUUUAGGUAGUGCCUCGUGGUUGAUACUUCUUGGGGUAGAGCACUGUUAUGGCUAGGGGGUUAUUGCAACUUACCAACCCAUGGCAAACUCCGAAUACGAGAAAGUAAUACACGGGAGACAGACAUCUGGUGCUAACGUCAGGUGUCAAAAGGGAAACAACCCAGACCGCCAGCUAAGGUCCCAAAUGAUCAAUUAAGUGGUAAACGAUGUGGGAAGGCAUAGACAGCUAGGAUGUUGGCUUAGAAGCAGCCAUCAUUUAAAGAAAGCGUAAUAGCUCACUAGUCAAGUCGUCCUGCGCGGAAGAUGUAACGGGGCUAAAUUGAUAACCGAAGCUGCGGAUAGAACUUAUGUUCUAUGGUAGAGGAGCGUUCUGUAGGCCAAUGAAGGUGACUUGAGAAGGUUGCUGGAGGUAUCAGAAGUGCGAAUGCUGACAUGAGUAGCGUUAAAGCGGGUGAAAAGCCCGCUCGCCGAAAGUCCAAGGUUUCCUACGCAACGUUAAUCGGCGUAGGGUGAGUCGGCCCCUAAGGUGAGGCAGAGAUGCGUAGCCGAUGGGAAACAGGUUAAUAUUCCUGUACCGAUGUAUAGUGCGAUGUGGGGACGGAGAAAGUUAGGUCAGCCAACUGUUGGAAUAGUUGGUUUAAGCGUGCAGGUGUGAGAAUUAGGCAAAUCCGGUUCUCUUUAACACUGAGGCGUGAUGACGAUGAUCUACGGAUCAGAAGUGAUUGAUACUACACUUCCAGGAAAAGCCACUAAGCUUCAGCUAUAUAUUGACCGUACCGCAAACCGACACUGGUGGACGAGAUGAGUAUUCUAAGGCGCUUGAGAGAACUCUGGAGAAGGAACUCGGCAAAUUAGCACCGUAACUUCGGGAGAAGGUGCGCCCCGACGAUGUGUAGACCCUCGCGGUCGAAGCAGUAAGGGGUUGCAGUGAAAAGGUGGCUGCGACUGUUUAUUAAAAACACAGCACUCUGCAAACACGAAAGUGGACGUAUAGGGUGUGACGCCUGCCCGGUGCUGGAAGAUUAAAUGAUGGGGUGCAAGCUCUUGAUUGAAGUCCCAGUAAACGGCGGCCGUAACUAUAACGGUCCUAAGGUAGCGAAAUUCCUUGUCGGGUAAGUUCCGACCUGCACGAAUGGCGUAACGAUGGCCACACUGUCUCCUCCUGAGACUCAGCGAAGUUGAAAUGUUUGUGAUGAUGCAAUCUCCCCGCGGAAAGACGGAAAGACCCCAUGAACCUUUACUGUAGCUUUACAUUGGACUUUGAACAGAUCUGUGUAGGAUAGGUGGGAGGCUUUGAAGCAGGAACGCUAGUUUCUGUGGAGCCAACGUUGAAAUACCACC
rnacentral:rRNA from 1 species